rnacentral:pre_miRNA from 10 species
ACCGCAGUCGAAAAUCUGGCCGAGGAUCGCCGACUUUUGUGAUUAGCAAUUACAUUUUCGACGAAUUGCAUAGUCACAAAAGUGUCCGGUCCUCUGGGUCCGAGUCGACUCGACAGU